GUUUGCAUCUGUUUCUCCUGAGACUCAAGCUCAUGCUUCCGAUUUUCAAGCUGCUGAAGAUUUUGUUCCAGAUUCUUCUGAGCAUCAAUAUCAGCACGCUGCUGCCUAUCCAAGACCUCUUUCUCAUCUCUUAGUUUCGCAGUUUUCAUGCCGGCCUCCUCUUUAAUUUGGUGAUAUGUCUCCAAUUGACUGUCAGCUAAUUGAAGUUUCCCCCCUGCAUCUCGACUUCUUUGACGCAACUCGUCCAGCUGCUUUGUAAUGUCCUUCAAGUCAUUUUGAAGCUUCUUCACCUCAUCUGCAUGUCUUCUUUUUUCUUCUCUCUUCUUAUCAAGCUCUUUACUUGUACUUCUGAUUUUUGAAGUAAUCCGCGAUAUUUCUUCCUUUAACUUUACUAAAUCAGGUUGAUUCUUGUCAAGUUUGUUUUUUCUAUCUGCAAUCUUCCUCUCGCGCAAUGCAAUCUCUCUCAUGUAUCCGCUUAGUUCUUUCUUCUUUUUGCUAGAUUCACUUUCAUAUUCCCCAAGUUUCUCCACAAUUUCUUUGACUCUUGCUUCUUCAGCAUCAAGUUCCUCGUUUGUCUUAGCAAUAUCCUUUUCUAUGUUGAAUAAUUGCCACAGAAAAUAUUCUUGCUUCAAAGAUUUCAGUUUAUCUUGUAAACGAAGAUGCUUCUCAGCUUCUUCUUUCUGUUCCUUUUUCUGUUUUCGCUCCAUAGUUACAGUUUUCUUUUUCUGGUAAGCAAGUGCCUUCUUUUCUUCAGCUCUUGCUUUUUCUUCUUCCAAUUCAUCAUAGCGUCUCUUGAACUCUUCAGAUCCAGAUAUUUGCUCAAGGAGUGCAGAGAGUUCUUUUGGAUUUUUAGAUGCAAUAGACUCAACGUCACCCUGAAAGACGAGAAAAUUCCGUGCUUUAACCAGAAUAUCAAGAGACUUCAAUUUGGCAUUAUACUCAUCCCAAUUAACAGCUUUCCCAUCAAUCCGAUACUCACUCGCACCAGCACUCGUAAUAGCACGCGUAAACUGAAUUUCCGUACCAUUAGCAAGCUGAUAAAUUAGCCUCACGAAAGCUCUUCGACCUCUCUGCUCCUUUUCACGGUCGUCAAAAGCAUAAAUUAAGUCCUUCAACUGUGCACCUCGAAGUUGACCCGUACGAACUCCAAGGACGAAGCUGAUUGCAUCCAUCAGGUUAGAUUUUCCUGCUCCAUUUGGCCCUAUAAUCGCUGUAAAGUCGUAAAAUGGGCCAAUUGUUUGAAAUCCUUUGUAGGACUUGAAAUUCUCGAGUUCCAGCCGGUGGAUUUUUCCCGGCGACGCCUGUGACGGCAUUGCUGAGUCGAAACCCUAGGUAUUGGGUGAGAAUUUUGUGAUGAAAUGGUGAAUAUGAAACUUGAAUUGAG
rnacentral:misc_RNA from 1 species